rnacentral:lncRNA from 1 species
GGGAGUAACAUGUAAUAAAUAAUCCCUUCAAAAUGUAAAUUUUAGUUAAUUGGUGUUUUCAGAUACAUAUUCAGUUUUUUUUUUUUUUUUAAACUGAUGAUUUGUGAAAUAAAUUAUUUGUGCAUGAGAAAUUGAUCAUUCGGCCAUUCCAUAUACAAAGAACUCAAGAAACUCUCUUUUGAGAGCACAAUUCUUACGACAAGGUAUUGUGAC